rnacentral:lncRNA from 1 species
GCGGGCUCCCCUUCCCCCGCCGCGGGCUCCUCGCCUCGGCCGCCCCGGCUGCGGCCCCUCCGGCGGGCGCACGGCCGGGCAUGUCCGCGGCGCAGGUGUCGGAGCGGCGGGGCUGGGGGGCGGCCCAGGAGCCCCGGCAGCCCGAGCCCGGCUCGCCCAGCGGGGAGGAGGCGGCGGACGAGGGCGGCCGGAGCAGGGAAGCUCCGGCGCCCAAGGAGAACGCGUGGACGCGGCGUAGAGCCCGGCGGGACAGCCCUUCCCCGCCCGCGGGGCCGGACGGGCGGCUCGCAGCGCAGGAACCAGAACUACAAAAUUCCACUAAAGUGAUAAAAGCGGGAAAACCCAGGACAAGAAAAAGCAGCAAGGCUGAUGAUUUGGGCGAUAUCACAAGCUGGCCGACCCCGAGCGAAAUAGCAAACAAUGAAGUAAGUGUCCUUUGUAAUCCUCAGGAUUAUUAUUAUUUUUUUUAAACCAUAUUGGCUUAUCUGUUUCAUACUGUCCCCCCCAGAAUGUGCUUCGAGUGUUGUAGGGUUUCAGUAGAAGUUUUGUCAGUAAUUCAGGAUACUGGUGUGUGCUAACUGUCUGCACUGUACUGGAAUUUGGUAGUGGUCUGCCAUGGACAUGUGCAUUAAAUAGUGCCUUAUUUUUUAAUUCCACUGUUUAAAACGUUUCAUUUACCUUUUUCUGCUGUUUUCAUCUGUUUAUGCACGGAUGAAAAGGCUUUGAAGUUGUGGAUAUGCUGCCCUCUCUCGUGGCUCAGAGUGCUUAGUGCCCAUUGUCUGAACACAAUUUAGUUAUUCUUGGUUACCUUAUUCCUCUGAUAUAUUUUUCCCCUUCUGGGUUUUAAGCUAACUAUUCUGUCAAAUUAUCCUCCUUUCUCUUUAUCUCAAGUGAUAAGUACAUAAUGUAUUUUAGACCUCUCUGAUGCUAUUUAAAACAAGAAGAGAACACAGAUUAUUGCAAAUGGUGAGGUGCCACUUCACUGUGCUGUAGCUCUGCAGCAGCAUCCCUGUGGUGCUUUUACUGUGUUCUUGGGCAGGAAAACCACAACAUCUGGCUUCAACCACAUGCAUUUUAUAGCUGAAAGGCUCCAAAUUCAUGUAGUGUCUGUAAAACAAAAUAACAUUUGAACUUAGUUUAUUUGUCAUGGGGAAGGCUUUGUGCUCAAAUUAAUUAGAGCACAGUCCUGCAGUAUCUAGUGUAUGUAUUCCAGCAGGUUCAAAGCUGUCUCCACAACAUAGUGAAAUUCUUUCUCUUUAGCAGAAAUGUCUGCAAAACUUCUCAUGUUGCAGGUAAAAAUU